rnacentral:rRNA from 1 species
GCCAUGCACGUGUAAGUACAGACCGCUCUCAGCGGUGACACCGCGAACGGCUCAUUAGAUCGAUCAUUGUUCCUUGGAUGGUACGAGCGCCUGGCCCUUUCGGGGGCCGGGAGUGCUAUGUGGAUAACUGUGGCAAUUCUAGAGCUAAUACAUGCGUGACGAGUCCGGUUCUUCUCGAAUCGGGCGCUUUUAUUAGACUGCGAUUUAGGAUCCCUCUCGGGGGGUCCGGUCGUUGGUGACUCUGGAUAACUCUAAAGCCGAGAACCCGAUACGCCGUUUCUACGGCGGGUUCCGCAUCUUUCAAGUGUUCGGCCUAUCAAGUUUCGACGGUAGCCGAUUUGGCUACGGUGCUCCUGACGGGUACCGGGGAAUCUGGGUUCGAUUCCGGAGAGGGAGCCUGAGAAACGGCUACCACGUCCAAGGAAGGCAGCAGGCGCGCAAAUUACCCACUCCCGGCACGGGGAGGUAGUGACGAAAAAUACCGAUGCGGGGCCCCCCGCGGGGCUCUCGUAAUCUGGACUGAGUACACUCUAAAGCCUUGCUUAGCGAGGAUCUACUGGAGGGCAAGUCUGGUGCCAGCAGCCGCGGUAAUUCCAGCUCCAGCAGCGUAUACUAAAGUUGUUGCAGUUAAAAAGCUCGUAGUCGGAUGUCGGUGUAAGGCGUUACGCCGUGGGCUUCGUCGGUGCGCUCGCAUCCGCGGGCGGCUACUGACGGGUCCGACCUUGCGGAUCUCGUGCGGGUCAGCCCGCGCGGGGUUCGCUGUUACUUUGAAAAAAUGAGAGUGUUCAAGACGGGCUAUUGUCGCUCGAAUUAGAAAGCAUGGAAUAAUGGAAGAUGAUCCGGCCUUCCGCCACGGACCACCUCUCUCACGAGGGGUGUCCCCCGUGGUGCGAAUGUUGCGGGAUAAUGAUGAAGAGAGACGGUCGGGGGCAUUCGUAUUGCGGCGCGAGAGGUGAAAUUCUUGGACCGUCGCAAGACGAACUGGUGCGAAAGCGUUUGCCAAGGACGUUUUCAUUGAUCGAGAGCGAAAGUCAGAGGCUCGAAGACGAUCAGAUACCGUCGUAGUUCUGACCGUAAACGAUGUCGACCGGGGCUCGGCGGACCCGUCGUUGUCCCGAUGCAGGGACUGGUGACACCGCCGGUACCCUCCCCCUCGGUUCGGGAAACCUUUGAGUGUUUGGAUUCCGGGGGGAGUAUGGUUGCAAAGCUGAAACUUAAAGGAAUUGACGGAAGGGCACCACCAGGAGUGGAGCCUGCGGCUUAAUUUGACUCAACACGGGAAAGCUUACCCGGCCCGGACACCGUGAGGAUUGACAGAUUGAGAGCUCUUUCUCGAUUCGGUGGAUGGUGGUGCAUGGCCGUUCUUAGUUGGUGGAGUGAUUUGUCUGGUUGAUUCCGAUAACGAACGAGACUCUAGCCUGCUAACUAGUGUCCCUCCCGCUGCCCAUCUUUGCGUAGAUGGGCGCCAACUACGGGAGGGGCUAUAAACCCGUUCCUUCUCUGAGGGUUCGGGCUACUUCUUAGAGGGACAAGCGGUAGUUUGAAGCCGCACGAGAUUGAGCGAUAACAGGUCUGUGAUGCCCUUAGAUGUCCGGGGCCGCACGCGCGCUACACUGUGGAUCGCAGCGAGUGUAGUAUCUGUCCCUCCCGUAGCCGGGUGGGUAAACCCAUGAAAGAUCGGACGUGGAUUGGGACCGGGCCUUGAAACUGUUGCCCGCGAACGAGGAAUUCCCAGUAAGCGCGAGUCAUAAGCUGGCGUUGAUUACGUCCCUGCCCUUUGUACACACCGCCCGUCGCUACUACCGAUUGGACGGUUUAGCGAGGCCCUCGGAUCGGAGCUUCUCUACUCUUCGGAGGGAGAGGCAACCGAGAAGGCGGUCGAACUUGACCGUCUAGAGGAAGUAAAAGUCGUAACAAGGUUUCCGUA